UUAAAAGCAUUUUUUCGGCUGAAGAAAAAAUGCUUUUAAAAGUUUUUAAAAAAACAACUCUGAUGAUCGCGCUGCUCAGCUGGGCAUUGGGGGGCAGGGAUUUUUGCUACUGGUUCUCUGAACCACCCAUCACCAUCGCUACUGGAUCGGGCGAUCUGGUCCGAACUGGGAGCAUUUCACCCCUGAUUUUAAUUUUAUUUGGGGUUGCUCUUCUACCCUUUCUUUCCCCUCCUUUCACAACAAACCUUCUUCUCCUCUUUCCCCUCCCUCCCUCCUCACCUCUCCUACUUUCUUCCUCCUCCUCUCCUUCCUCUUUCCUACUUCCCCUUCCUCUCCCCCACUCCUCCCCUCUUUUCCCCCUUUCUCACCUUCUCUCCUACUUUUGGGGUCAAGCUAUUCUCCUUCUCCUUCUCCUUCUGUGGUUCCUUCACUGGGACUUUUUUUGAUUAUUCAAUUUUUUUAAAAAAAGAAAUCAUGUUGUGGUAUUACAACACAAAAUACCUGUUCUUUUCAGGCAUGCUUUAACAUCUGAACAAAUUGUUUGGAAUGCAUAGGUGGUCCUUGUUUAAAAGCAAUGGCAAUCCGAAGGCCAAUCUUUAUGGUGCGAGAUGGUAUGUAGAUAUCAGUGUUUCCAAUGUAUGGAAACAAUUUUUACGAGACUCUUAAGCAGCAGUAAAAUUGAGAUACAACAUUCUGCUUCCCAAGGUACAAUGUCAUCUUGUGGUUUGAAUUUGUGUGUGGCUUGAAUUUAGACCUUCUGGUUAGUAUUAAUAAACCAGGUUUUAUAGAUUAGUAUGCACACAAACUCCUACACUCUAUUCAAUAAAAACUGGUCCAGGGGUGUCCAAACUUGGCAAUUUUAAGGCUUGUGGACUUCAACUAAAUAGUAUUUAGUGCAAUAUAAAAAAUGCAAAUCAUUUUUCUGCGGACCACCAAAAUUUUCUCCUGGACCACUAGUGGUCCAUGGAUCACCUGUUGGUGACCACUGCUCUAAAAGACCUUAGAGCAGGGGUCUCCAACCUUGGUCCCUUUAAGACUUGUGGACUUCAACUCCCAGAGUUCCUCAGCCAGGUUUGCUGGCUGAGGGACUCUGGGAGUUGAAGUCUACAAGUCUUAAAGAGGGACCAAGGUUGGAGACCCUGCCUUAGAGUCAGUGGCCUUUCUACUAUGAAAGGUCAGUGGUCCAUUUAUGCCAGGGAGUUGAAGUCCACAAGUCUUAAAGUUGCAAAGUUUGGACAACCCUGAUCUAUGCUAACUGGCUGCAGCUCAUUUCCCUUCCUGAUCCCCAUCUGCAAAUCCCAAUAACUAAACCUAGUGGUCAAUCUUUGUAAAACAACAGUCCUUCCCCUGAAUUAAAAAAUCAAAAUUGCCUCAAAAUUGGCUCACUUACAAAUGUCAACACUCCAGAAUGCAUUUCGAAACAAAACACACUGUAGUUCCAUCUACAGUGGUCAGGGCUUUACAAUUUAUGGUAAGAAGAUAUGAAUCAGGAACAGGAAAUGUGAAGGACAAAAAGAGGUCCAAGAGGGGAAAACAAGACAACAUUGAGAUGUACGAGGUCCAAGGCUACACCAUGAUCCGACAGGCACGGACAAUCUCUCGCUCUGUUGUCCAGGCAGCCAAACCAGGAUGUGGGUGACCGGAGGCCAUGUUUGGCUUUGAAAGAGGGACCCCAAGUCCUUAUAAUAAGAACUGUCACCUGGUGUGCUCAACAACUUUAUUUUUUCACCUCUUUCCAGAUUCCCAGAGGGCAAAGGAAAUUAGGAUAGGAUAGGAUAGGAUAGGAUAGGAUAGGAUAGGAUAGGAUAGGAUAGGAUAGGACUCUUUAUUGGCCAAGUGUGAUUGGACACACAAGGAAUUUGUCUUUGGUGCAUACGCUCUCAGUAUACAUAAAAGAAAAGAGACAUUCAUCAAGAAUCAUAAGGUACAACACUUAAUGAUAGUCAUAGGGUACAAAUAAGCAAUCAGGAAACAAUAUCAAUAUAAAUCUUAAGGAUACAAGCAAAGUUCAGUCAUGCAGUCAUAAGUGGGAGUAGAUGGGUGGUGGGAACAAUGAGAAGAUUAAUAGUAAUGCAGAUAUAGUAAAUAGUUUGACAGUGUUGAGGGAAUUAUUUGUUUAGCAGAGUGAUGGUGUUCAGGAAAAAACUGUUCUUGUGUCUAGUUGUUCUGGUGUGCAGUGCUCUAUAGCGUCGUUUUGAGGGUAGGAGUUGAAACAGUUUAUGUCCAGGAUGUGAGGGCUCUGUAAAUAUUUUCACAGCCCUCUUUUUGACUCGUGCAGUAUACAGGUCCUCAAUGGAAGGCAGGUUGGUAGCCAUUGUUUUUUCUGCAGUUUCAAUGAUCCUCUGAAGUCUGUGUUUUUCUUGUUGGGUUGCAGAACCAAACCAGACAGUUAUGGAGGUGCAGAUGACAGACUCAAUAAUUCCUCUGUAGAACUGGAUCAGCAGCUCUUUGGGCAGUUUGAGCUUUCUGAGUUGGCACAGAAAGAACAUUCUUUGUUGUGCUUUUUUGAUGAUGUUUUUGAUGUUAGCUGUCCAUUUUAGAUCUUGCGAUAUGGUAGAACCUAGAAAUUCGAAGGUCUCUACUGUUGAUAGUAUGUUGUCUAGUUUUGUGAGAUGUGGAAGUAUGGAAAGGUUUCUCCUAAAGUCUACCACCAUUUUUACAGUUUUGAGUGUGUUCAGUUCCAGAUUGUUCCGGUCGCACCACGAGGCUAAUUGUUCAAUCUCCUGUCUGUAUGCGGAUUCAUCAUUGUCUUGAAUGAGACCGAUCACUGUUGUGUCAUCUGCGAACUUCAGUAGUUUAACAGAUGGAUCGUUAGAGAUGCAGUUAUUUGGUAUGGAGAGAGAAGUGGGGAGUGCACACAGCCUUGCUAAUCGUACAGGUAUCUGAUGUGAUCCUGCUUAGCUUCACCUGCUGCUUCCUGUCUGUUAGGAAGCUUGUGAUCCACUUACAAGUCUAUUCAGAUACCUGUAGCUGAUUUAGCUUAGUUAGAAGAGUGUCUGGAAUGAUGGUGUUGAAUGCUGAACUAAAGUCUACAGAGAGGAUCCUUGCUUAGGUCUUUGUUGUAGGAUGUAGUGCAGAGCCAUAUUAAAAGCAUCAGCUGGUGUGCUCAACAACUUUAUUUUUUCACCUCUUCCCAGCUGCCUAGAGUGCAAAGGAAAUGUACCAUAAAGCCCAACUAGCAGAACUGGCCUCAGAGCCUGAGGUCAGAAGGGAGGUUACUGAAGGCAUGCAGAGAAGUUCCCUCUUGCAAAAUUACUGUCAACUGAAUUGUGCCAACGUCACACAAUUCCAGUGCUGUGCUACGUCUGUCUACUGCUCUCUUGAAGCUGUGAGUUCUUACACGGAGACCUGGGUCACAUCAGGACCAGCUGCUUCCAUUCCGGUGGUUUCCCAGGCUUCCUACUUCCUUGGGGAUUUAUCUAGUGACCCCUGGACAAGACCCUAAUCCUAAUCUUAAUCCUGGGAAAGGUGAAAGGAAAGAGAAAAAGAAGAUGGCCAACAGCAGGUGAAAAACAAUCGCCUCGGGUUUCAUCCCGAUGACAACUGCUCUUGUUUUGUCUGCCCAGGGGCCCACUUGAGCGACAUGAUUGCUCGUUCACACCAGGAUGACGCUACCCACACAUUGAACCUACUAAUAAUCGCACAGCAAGCGGAAGGCGUGAUUUGCAUAUCGCGUGGUGCACAGCUUCAAAAUAACUCUUCCAAUAAAAGAAUAGAGAAGUGGAACUGAGAGUGGUCAUGGGGUGGAAGAAAACGAUUUUCCCUUCAAAUUUAAAGAUUAGGUAUGCGUUUUUUUAGGGUUGCAUAUCAACGAUUGCACCGCCUCUGUAGAUGCCAUUCACUUGACAACCGUCGGGCUUUGCAAUAGAAAUUUUGGGCUCACUUGUGGUCGUAAGCCAAGGACUGCCUGUACAAGGUCUUGAAAGCCGGGUCUCCACGUGCUGGAGGUUGGGACCCAGGCCAGGGGAGAAGAGCCAGUGUCCUGGCUGUGUAGACCAGUGGUUGGAUGACGGUCGGCAGUUCUUCUCUCCAUAGACCAAUGACGGCAUCUCUAACGAUCCAUCUGAUAAACUACUGAGGUUCGCAGAUGACACAACAGUGACCGGACUGCUUAUUUCUACCCUAUGACUAUCAUUAAGGGUUGUAUCUUAUGAUUCCUGAUGAAGGUAUCUUUUAUGUACACUGAGAGUGUAUGCACCAAGACAAAUUCCUUGUGUCUUCAAUCACACUUGGCCA